rnacentral:tRNA from 1 species
GCCCCUGUGGUGUAGUCCGGACUAUCAUACUGCCCUCUCACGGCAGUGACUCGAGUUCAAAUCUCGGCGGGGGCG